UUGGAAUGAUGGGAAUCUAAACCCUUCCCAGAGUAUCAAUUGGAGGGCAAGUCUGGUGCCAGCAGCCGCGGUAAUUCCAGCUCCAAUAGCGUAUAUUAAAGUUGUUGCAGUUAAGAAGCUCGUAGUUGAAUUUCUGCCUUGUCAUUAAUCUCGCUUUCGAGCGUUAUUUUAUUGACUUGGCAUCUUCUGGAUUUGGUAUCCUUAAUUGGUUACUAUCUUCCAGUAUUUACUUUGAGAAAACUAGAGUGUUUCAAACAGGCCAUUUGCCUUGAAUACUACAGCAUGGAAUAAUGAAGUAGGACUUUGGUUCUAUUUUGUUGGUUAUUGAGCCAGAGUAAUGGUUAAUAGGAGCAGUUGGGGGCAUUCGUAUUUAACUGUCAGAGGUGAAAUUCUUAGA
rnacentral:rRNA from 1 species